UGAUCCCGGACUCCAGGAUCACGCCCUGGGCUGAAGGCAGGUACUAAACCGCUGAGCCACCUGGGGAUCCCCCUGCUUUUCUUUUUCAUCUUAGAACUUAGCACUAGCUGAUGUUGCUUUGUGUAUUUAUUUAUUGGAUUCUUUGGUUCUACUUUUUAUUUAUUAGAUUACCUAGGAUGCAAGUCCAGGAGGGCAGGGAGUUUGUCUGCCUUGUUCACUUGAGAACGGUGCCUGGCGAUUAGCAGGUGCUGUUAUAAUCCCAGCUAGCAAGUGGGCAUAGGCAGCCUGUGGGGUGAGCUGAGCCCUUCACCCCUGGGACAUGCUGUCCUCUGGGUACCGUGAGGCAGACUGGAAAAGUGCUACAGCAGACAGCUGACACCCUGGAGCGACGCGGGACCAGUGUGGAUUAAGAAGCACAAACCGAAUUGUGGAAGGAAAAGGUGAUAUCAUCAUCACAUUUGAAGGUCUCUGGGAAAACGUGAGCUACAACGGCAGGCUGAGGAGAAUGUCUGGGUCAGAGCCUGGCUUUUGGAGGAUCCUGCUGUGCGUGCAGGGACCAGCAGGCUCCCGUGGGCGUAAUCUCCUCACAGCACCAGCAGAGGUGCAGGCGAUGAGCCCACUCACAAGAGCAUCUUUCAAGCCUUGGUUUGCCCUUGUCAGCUGAUAUUCUCCUGUUCAAACAAGAGCUGAGUCAGGUGGGCUGAAGCGCUGACCACACAGCAGCCGCUCUGAGUGUCAAGACCGGAUUCCCAUGCAGGGUGCAUCUUCCUCAGUGAAGCAUUUCAGACAUUGGCGCCCAGAGGAGUGCAUGCCCCCGGAGUCACUGUUCAAUAUGGCUGAGAAGUCACAUGGUUGGGGACGCCUGGGUGGUUCAGUGAUUGAGCGUCUGCCUUUGGCUCAGGGCGUCAUCCCGGGGUCCUGGGAUCGAGUCCUGCAUUGGGCUCCCCGCAGAGAGCCUGCUUCUCCCUUUGCCUGUGUCUCUGCCUCUCUCAAGAAUCAAUAAAUAAAAUCUUAAAAAAAAAAAAAAAGAAGUCACACGGUUCAAGUGGUUUCAAACUAGUGGCAGCCCCAGAUUCAAGCUUGCCCUUGAGAGUCCUGGCAAGAGACUCUGACGUCAUAGCACAUUCCUGACGUCAUAGCACACAGACACCCUCGGGCUGGCUCUGAGGGGAUGGGGGCAGCGAUAACCUCACUUCUUCUCUUCUGCGCUGCAGGGAAGCUCCUCUGUGACCUGAUAGAGGCCCCUCCUACCACCUCGUCACUGUCACAUGGAGCUGAGAAAGGAAAGCCCAUGUCCUGGGGCCACCUGCUCUGUGAGCACGGUUUGUGCUCAUUUGUGACCUGGAGGCAGCGGGGAUAACAUGGACAUGUCCACCCAGGCCUUUAUUCCAGAGUCUCUUUGUCUUCUUGUGGGGAGGUGACAGUCCCUUUGAAAAUGGAAUGGAAGCUAUUGGACCUUCACCCCCUCACAAUACACGCAGACAUGUCAUCUUUUGGGUACCAUUUCAAGCAGCUUGUACCCUCCCUGAAGACUACUUAUUUUUAUUUUUCUGUAGAUUUUAUUUAUUUAUUUGAGAGAGAGAGAGAGCAUGAGAAAGAGAGAGCGACCACAAACAAGGAGGAGGGGUAGAGGGAAGGCCACACUCCCCACUGAGCAGGGAUCCUGAUGUGGGACUCGAUCCCAGAACCCUAGGAUCAUGACCUGAGCCGAAGGCAGAUGCUUCAUCGAUGGAGCCACCCACCACCCCUGAAGACCAUUUAUAUAUGAGAAGUGAAGAGCCCCAUCCAGGGGCACAUCAGAGGACAGGGGCCACUUGAGCUCCCAUCAGACAAGGCCAGAUGAUUCCAGCAUCAUAAUGGACACUGCCAGUAAUGGAUCAUAACCCCAUCAUGAGGAUGUGAAUCCGGAGUCCACACUGACAAUGAAUUAGCAGAUGGAUCAAUGAACAAACAGAGGAGAAGAGAAAGUCUUUAGAGUGGAACAGCAGCUAACAAAUGUGGACGGAGUGAUAGGUCAGAAAAUUGCAAUUUUGCAAUCAUCUGAGCAGCAAGUGAUUUGGGCAAGAAUAGGGUCCUACUCAUGGAUGGAUGUGAAGACCGUCUGGUGAAAGUUGAUUUUUUAUGUAUUUAUUUUUAUUUAUUCAUGAAAGACAGAGAGGCAGAGACACAGGCAGGGGGAGAAGCAGGUUACCCACAGGGAGCCUGAUGUGGGACUCGAUCUCAGGACCCCAGGAUCACACCCUGAGCCGAAGGCAGAGCUCAACCAUUGAGCCACCCAGGUGCCCCUGGGAGAAAGUUAAAUGAAGAACAUGUUAUUUAGAGUGUCUCAAAGUGUCUUUUCAUGGGUGACUUGUGACAUUCCAAGGGGCGAAUGGAGCAGCCUGGAGCCCACCACCCCUACCAAGCAAUCCGAGUCAACAGUGCCAUUGCUGGGACCGGUGACAGCCUGUGUCUCCUGACAGCACGCACGAAGGACACAGCCUCAGUUCUGCAGCUGCCCUCAAGAUGCCGGAGCCAUGAAGAAAAAGGAAGCACUGAAGAAUCGUCCAGAAUAAAGGAGCCUCAAGAAGACCUACUGCUAAAUGCACUGGUAGAUCUUAUUUUGAAAUGAAAUGCUAUGAGGAACGUGACGGGGGUGGCUGGAAAAAUCUGAGAAAGAAUCAUGCAUUAAGUGAUAAUGUUUCAAUGGUCAACUUUUAGAACUUCUUAAUUGUGCUGCGGUAAACCUCAUUAAAAACCCUAUGCAUUCCUAAAAAUAAUCGUGUGGUGGCAACGUGAGCAAAACAUUCUUGUUAUUAAAACAUACCUGCCGGGGGCGCCUGGUUGAGCAUCUGCCUUUGGCUUAGGUGGUGAUCCCAGGUCUGGGUUCGAGAUCCGUAUUGGGCUCCUCGCAGGGAGCCUGCUUCUCCCUCUGCCUUGUGUCUCUGCCUCUCUCUG